rnacentral:rRNA from 1 species
UACAGAGGGUGCGAGCGUUGUCCGGAAUCACUGGGCGUAAAGGGCGCGUAGGUGGCGCUGCAAGUCGGUGGUGAAAGCUCGAUGCUUAACAUCGAGUCGGCCAUCGAAACUGCAGGGCUGGAGCACUGUAGGGGCAGAUGGAAUUCCGGGUGUAGCGGUGGAAUGCGUAGAGAUCCGGAAGAACACCGGUGGCGAAGGCGGUCUGCUGGGCAGUUGCUGACACUGAGGCGCGACAGCGUGGGGAGCAAACAGG